rnacentral:lncRNA from 1 species
GGCUAGAAGUUCAAAUAAUUGUCUUGAUUUGGUUUGCACAUGUCAAAUCAUCCUUGCAGCCUUUGGCUAACAGAAUCAUGGAUCGUUUGAUGGCAUUGUCUUACUUUUUUCCUCUUGGAUAUAUGUAUGUACUGGUAUGAAUUUCGCUCAGUUCUAUGUAUUAUAGAUAAUAUACUAUUUUUUUUCACUUUGUUUUGAACCAUGUAACAUCUCUUUGCUUUCUUUGCUCAAAGGUGUGAUGUGUGGUCUCCACAUAUUUGUGUGUUUUUCUAAAGUUUCUCGGCCUGGACAGUAGCUCAGUGCUAGACUACUCAACUACUAACACACAGAGUGUUGUAAGUUCAAUUAAAAAAGGUGAAAAGAAAGUUUCUUCUGAUGGUAACUUCCAUUUUCAUUUGAUUAUCAUCAGAAAUGAUAUAGUAUGUUACUUCAAACUUUUGAAUGGGUGAAGAUUUGUUUUGUGGCCUAAUAUAUUACCUUCUACAAUAAACGGCAUGUGGUUAGCCAUGCAGAUUUUACAUUUGACUAGACACUGUGUGGUGUAUGUGGAAAGAAUAUGUCUUAGUUUCUGUCCUAAGUGUUUAGAAUUCAAGUGAGACAAGCUGGCAUGAACCAGUAGCCCAUCUCCCUUCAGGAAUCCUGAGUUCUGUCUUAGCUAAUGGAUGCCUGAUGGCAGGUUCAUGAUGACACAGAAGGGGGAAAUAUUGCUCCCAGACACCACAGAAAAAUCACAGUGUGCACAGGCUGCACAUAUUCCGAACUGCUAUGAGAAAAUGAAAUACAGCAUCUCGUCUAACCUGCUGUUACAUUUUGCAGCCACCAAUUUGACAUUUUAAUUAUGGAGAUAAGAACCCAAGCAAGUGAAUCAUAGAAUUCUCUAAG